GGCCCAAUGGCACAGUGGUUAGUGCGCCUGCUCUAAAUGAAUUGUGGUGGACCUGUAAGCAGGAGACCCUCGUUCGAUCCGGGGUUGGGCUA